CUUUUCUUGGAUAUUUACUUUCUUGUUUAUAUUUUGUUUAUGGUUUAACAGUAAACCCGAAAAAAAAAAAAUGUCAUACCUCCUUAUUUGGCCAUUUGUGAAUGAUAAAACUGCACAAAUGGUCCCUGUGGUAUGUCGAAAAUUACCACUUCAGUCCAAAAAGGUUUGGACUAACACCACAGGUCCAAAGUUUUCAUUUUGUUGCGAGUUUGGUCCAAUUUGUUUUGAAUUUUUAUAAAAUGACGAUUUUGCCCUUUGUAUUUUCAUUAUUUAUUUAUUUUUUAAAUUACAAAAACUAAAAAAGGAAAAAAAUUCUAUUUGUAUUAUCACCCCCACCCCAUAUUUUUCUCUCUCCCAUUCAGAAAAAGGAAACACCACCAGAUUCCGGUGGCUGCCGGAGCACCGUCAUCCGACCACUAAAACCACCGUCGAUGAUGGAACGCUAGAACUAUCCGGCGCCGACUUCGCUAGAGAAAAAAAACUGAGAUCUGAACCUCCAAAGACCAUCAUUCUUCUUUCUUUUUGUUGCUACGAUGGCCAUCUCUCUCUCUCUCUCUCUCUCUCUCUCUUUCUCUCCCUUCUAUUGUUAUGAACCGUCUGUCGGACCAUCCAAAUCACCACCGAUGAUGAAGAUCUAAACAUCUCGCCGCCUCGAUGGAGAUCUAGAUUUCCUGGUUGUUCGACAAGAAAAAGAGAGAGAAAGAGGGUGAAAACAGAUCUGAAAACUUAGGGUUUCGUAAAACUAGAAGGGUGGCGGUGCUAGGGCUUUUGCUAUGUAGACACUGUAGCACCUGAUUCUUUUUUGGAGCUUAGAAGAAGAAGGAGGAGGUUGAAGAAUGCGAGAAGGGGAAGUAGAUCCGAAAUCUACACUGUGAGAAGCUUCCAUUCAGGUACCUCUUCAUCGAAGGGGAAGGAGCUGGCGCGGUAGCGGCACAUCAUACACACACACUGUUUUCCGCUUUACGUACUUGUUCUGGGAUUUGUACUAUGAUAUUUGGUUGAUUUCAUAUUUUGGUUUCAGACACGAUGUAUGUUAUGAAAUGGCUUGAUCAGACAAUGUUUUAUUUACAAAUGUUUUCCAAAAUGUUGAUUUAAAAACGAAAUUUUUGGACGUGAAAUUUGGGUCGUUACAGACACCUCGUCGGAGAAGAAGAGAGACGAGUAGUUUGAUGGUUCCGAUGUCUGCAACUAGAGUUUUAUCGAGCCACAAACGCCAUCGUCAUCGCCGAUGACAAACAGAUCGAAGGCAUCGUCAGAUGAGAAGAUAAAAGACAAAGACGAUGAUGGUUCCGACGGAAAGCAAAUAGAAAGAGGGAGAGAUUGAGUCCGGUUUCCGACAGAUCUACAUCGUCCUUAGGAGGGUUUCCUGUUCGCCGGAAAAACAAUUUCUCAGAUUUUGCAAUUGAUUUCUCGAUUUCUGGCAAACCCGACUCAGUUCAUCUAUCUUCUCAAUUCGUCCUUCUCCCUUCACCCCUUUCUCAGAUCUAUGGCACCAGAAACCCUAGCCUCAAAUAUCGAAACCCGCUUCGUCGGAAGCCUCCAUCACCGGUGGUGGUGAAGGAGAUGAGCAACUUUUUGUGUGAAACGAGAGAGAGAGAGAGAGAGAGAGAGAGAGAGAGUUUGCAUUUUAUUUUCUUUUUUCCGUUAUAAAAAAUUAUAAAAAUAAAAUAAAAAAGGACAAUUUCUUUUUUAUUUUUCUUUUAAUCAGAAAAAAUAUUUAAAUAAUAAAAAAACUAAAAAAAG